rnacentral:rRNA from 1 species
UACGUAGGGGGCAAGCGUUGUCCGGAAUCAUUGGGCGUAAAGCGCGUGUAGGCGGCUCGAUAAGUCUGCUGUGAAAGUUCAGGGCUCAACCCUGAAAUGCCGGUGGAAACUGUCGAGCUAGAGUCCGGAAGAGGCGAGUGAAAUUCCUGGUGUAGCGGUGAAAUGCGCAGAUAUCAGGAGGAACACCAAUGGCGAAGGCAGCUCGCUGGGACGGUACUGACGCUGAGACGCGAAAGCGUGGGGAGCAAACAGG